GUGAUGCUGUGGUAUCACUUGAUUUUUUAUUAUCACAUUUCACAGUCUCUGCUUUGAGUAUUCAGUGGAAGUGAACAAUGAACAAAUAGGUCCUACAGUACAAAGCUAUAAGAUCAGACUUUAAAUCACUACUUGUGGCCGUGUUAAAGGUAAUUAUAUAGUGAGGAUAAUUGUUAUAAUACUGUAAUGGUAUGUAAUUAGGAGUUUUCCAAGCAUAAGCUCUUGUGAGUUUUCAUUACCUUGUUAGUUUUUCAUUAAUGGAGGAGUAUUUUGUCCACUCAGUGCCGUACAUGAAAUAUGUUACUGGACUUCCAACAUUACUUGAUGCCCCAAAUACUUGUGUUUACAAAUCUAAGGUAAUUGGAUUAGUAAUAGUAAAAACUAUAUUUCAGAUAAUCAAAAUUUGGAUGGAAAGAAAAUUUUUGAUGUUGGAGAAGACCUUGUGGCUACAGAAGAAGAGGUUAACAUUAUUGACCCUAUAACAAAAACUCGAAUGACAGAACCUGUGCGGAAUAAAAUUUGUGGACAUGUGUAUGAAAAAUCCAGUGUGCUUCAAAUGAUUAGACAAAAAAAGCGUAAGGGUUUUAGAUGUCCUGCAAUGGCAUGUGCAAACCGUUCCCUUAUAAAUCCCCAAGAUUUAAUAGAUGCUCCUGAUGUUUUACGGGCAAUUCGCCAACAGGAAUCAGUCCACACAUGAAAUAGUUUUAACAGUUUUGAGUUGCCUACAAAAUGAGGUAGUUUAUCAUUUCAAAACUUUUCAAAUGUUAAUUUCAAAUUAUCAUUUCUUAGAGUUAAUCCCACUUGUAUAGUAGUUGUGGGGUAUUUGAAAAUGUGAAUGUCUUUGCAUUAUGAACCUGUAUGUUGACCACUUAUCAAUAGAUUCAGCCAAGUUUUCAUGGAGUAAUUGUAACAUUAGUGUAAUGACUGAAAAUGUGUCAGAGUAGGUGCAUGAAGUAACAGGUUGCUUAAUGUCAAGUAAAAAAUAACUUAAAUUAAACAUGUUAAUGUUAAGGUAAAGAAAACAGAUUGUACAGGAUGUAAUUAUCCUAGGAGUCAGCGGAUUAAUUUUUUAUAACCAUCGUUAUGUAGCACUUUAAGGCAAGCAGCUGCUCUUUUUACAAGUCUGACCAGAGGGUAUUGUAUACAGUGGCAGAUUAUACUAUGGUAUUCUUUCAUAUAAAAACUUUUUACCCUUGGAAUAAUCAAACUCUAUCCAGGAAAUGUAAAUUUUGUAUGCUUACUGAUGCAAAAUCUCAUUUAUCUGGAUCAUGUUUGUUCAGGUAUGUGGAUAAUCCGUGGAAGUUUUAGAUUAACAACAGGCUCUGUUAGAGAUUUCUUGAAGGAUGAAUUUGUUAUGUUACACUUUUACAAAUGCAUUUAAAAAAUUUUCCAUUGGCAAUGACUUGUUUUGGUAAAAAUUUGACAUAUAUUAAUCUACGAAAUUUGGCAGCUUAGACUAGCAAUUUUUCGUCAACCUACCGAAUAAUUAAAUUUGGACAGGUACUCCUCUUAUUAGUCUAGAUAAGUGAAGCUUUUUACUGUAUCAUGCAACUUUUCUUCAUUUCUUAUUGACUUGUAGAAUUAAUUUUCUUUACUCAUGGUACUUAUAGAGAAAAAAUUACAAAUUUUUUAAGUA